GAAAUAUGUGCCCAGAACUUCAAAAGUCCAUAUCUUUCGCAUAUGAGCUCCGUUUUCUACGUUCUUUAUAUCCACGCAUAGGUGAGAUUAUGCUCUACAACUUUCGUUUAGACUCUGUCAGCUAGUUUUGAAUUUAUUUUAAAGCUAUAUUUUUAACAGGCCGGGACAGGAAAAGUGUGACAUCCCCAAAAUCUCGGCCAGAAAAGACCGAUUUUCAUUUAUGCUUUUAAAUAUUUUCAGAGUAAAUCCUUUUGAUUUGAAAGAGUUGCGGAAUUUGUUCCCAAAAACAAAACAUGAUAAAACAUUGUUUAUCGAAGCAUUUCAUAAAAGAAAUGUAUUUUCAUUAUAAUCAAAACUCGGGGUGUCAUGUUCCGAUACAGACCAAUAAGCAUAAACGAAUACAUUACAAGUCAUAUAACAAAUAUAAACAUAUGUAGACUUGUAAACAAAACAACUUGAUGGUUCAUCCAUCUCAUGCCCUUCCGCCACUACCUGUAAUACAAUUUAAAACUGAGUGGGUCAGGCUUGGGAGCCUGGUGAGCAUAUAGGGUUUUCAACCCACAAUAAAUAUCAUAUUUAAUUUUCACCAACCAACAAUAACCCAAUUACCCAUUCCCGUUAUUCUCACUUUAAUGUCCCUAAAACAACUAACAUAAGGGACCUAGUCUAAGAAUAUUUCAUCGGGGCGACAACACAUGCUUCGGGGGUACCUCAGCAAUAUAAGUCAAAUAAGGCAACCAUGAGGGGGAUGGAGUACAGCGAAUGAACACCCAAGUUCAUUAACACCUACAGGUGGCGAACCUGCUAAUGUUUCCACAAGACUGUCUAGAAUAGCCAGUGGUCGUCAUCUAAACUCCGCUAGAUGACUCAAUCAAACAACAACGAGGCCUCUCAUCUGUUUAUUACACACCAACUGUCUACCCAUGUUCUACCCAACAUAUUAGUAGAUAAAAAUAUACAUUUGUAUACAUAGUUUAAAGAAAACCUGUAUAGCAUGCUUUAAUCAACACAUAUAUCACAUAACAGAUGAGGCACACACACACAUAACACAUAUCUCAUAAAGAAAUAAGCAGAUCUAUAAGAUAGAAGAGAGUGAAUACUCAUUCACACAUAACACAACCAAAUAUAUACACAUAGCACGUAUUUUUAUAUAAAAUACUUCGUAUUAUUGUAUUAGAAGAAAUAACUACACACUCACUUGAUCAGAAGAUGAUCGGACAGCACUACGGCUUAUAGAAGUAGUAAUCCACAGCAGAUCUGGAAGAUCUUCUCGAAAAUCGAACUUCUCGCGGGCAGAGCUUCGACUCGGGAACCGCACUUUUCGGGAUCUUCAGGAUCUCGGGACUUGCCUCGGGGCUAGAGUAUGAUACCGGGACUUCGGGGUAGCUUCGGGGGUUUUUGCACAGAGCUUCGACACGAAAACGAGAGGGAAUUGGCAAAAAUACCCGGAACCCUCGCAUCCUAUUUAUAGGAGGCUGGAGCCUCGGAGUACGCGGGGCGUACUGCGUUACGCGGGGCGUACUGCCCAAAACGUCAUUGCUUACGUAUCCGAAGUGCUCGAGUGCGAGUGUCGACAUCCCUCGGAGUACGCGGGGCGUACUCGAGUACGCGGGGCGUACCUCGGAUCAGAUCGGUGACUCCUUCGGAUAAUGCUUCCGAAUUUUGAAUUAAAAAUAAAUACAAAAUGAUUAAUAAACUUCGGAAAUUCAUAACUUCUUCAUACGAACUCCGUUUUCGACGUUCUUUAUAUCCACGCGAAGGUGAGACCACGCUCUACGACUUUCGUUUAGACUCCGUCGGCUAAUUUUGACUUUAUUUUUAUUAAUUAUUUUUAAUAGGCCGGGACAGAAACUUUCGUUAUAAAUUCAUAACUUCUUCGUUUGACGUCCGUUCUCGCCUAACUUUUUAUCGUUUCAAUACCAACAAUGAGAUCUUCGAUUCUCAUUUAGAUUGCUUCGGCUAACAACCGCUCGAUCUCAAAUCGAGUAAAACAGGCUGUAUAUCGCUAAGCCGGAACUUCGAUAAAUCAUAACUUCCUCAUACGAAGUCAGAUUUGGGCGUUCUAUAUAUAUUCGGAAACCUCGUUUCAACUACUACAACAUUAACCAAAGAUAUUAAGUUUAUUUUACACUUAAAUUUUGACGCUUAUUUUUAUUCUUAAUUAAUCAAACCACAUAAUUAAGCAAUUAAGCACAAAACACAUAAUACUCAAAUAAUACAAUCUUAUUAUUUCAAAACGGGUUACAAAGGUUAACCUAGACUAUUACAUUGCUAAAAAUGGCAAGCCCGGAAACACAGGCGUUACAAUUCUCUCCACCUUAGAAUGAUUCCGUCCCCGGAAUCACACAUCAACAAACAAAUGCGGAUAGCGACUCAACAUGUCACUCUCCGUCUCCCAGGUGAGAUUCGGCCCAUUCGUGUGUUUCCAUCGGACAAGCACUAACCCAACCAUUUUGCGUCGCAACUUCUUAGUCUUUCGGUCAACAAUUGCCUCUGGUUCUUCAAUCAACCUUUUGUUCUCAUCAAUUCUCAAUUCAGAAAUUGGAAUUAUAUCGGGAACUUCUCCCGUGAACUUCCUCAAAUAACACACAUGAAAGGUGUUGUGAAUUCCAUUCAGUUCUUCGGGUAAUUCGAGCUUGUAAGCUUGAUUCCCAAUCCUCUGAAGGACUUUAAACGGUCCAAUAAACCUUGGACUCAACUUUCCCCUUUUACCAAAUCUUAUAAGUCCCUUCCACGGCGAGACUUUAAGCAAAACCGAAUCUCCAACCUCAAAAGUCAUCGGUCUUCGCUUCUUGUCAGCAUAGCUCUUUUGACGAUCUUGAGCUGCUAACAUUCUUUCCCUAAUUAUUUUCAACUUUUCAGCAGUUUGAUGAACCAUCUCCGGUCCCAUAAACUGCUUUUCCCCAGCCUCAAGCCAACAAGACGGCGUACGACACUUCUGUCCAUACAAAGCUUGAUAAGGUGCCAUCUUAAUGCUCGAGUGAAAACUAUUAUUAUAGGAAAAUUCUACCAACGGUAAAUGUUCAUCCCAAUUACCUAGGAAUUCCAAGGUACAUGCUCUCAGCAUAUCUUCAAGUGUUUGUAUUGUUCUUUCACUCUGACCAUCAGUCUGCGGAUGGUAAGCUGUGCUUAAACAUAACUUGGUACCCAUUUCCUCUUGUAGACUUUUCCAAAACCUUGAGGUGAAACGGCUAUCACGAUCCGAUACAAUCGUUAACGGAACACCGUGAAGCCUCACAAUUUCCUUCACGUAAGAAUUCGCAAGCUUUUCCAUAGACCAUUUCUCCCUGGCCGCUAUGAAAUGCGCACUCUUAGUGAAUCGAUCAACGACCACCCAAAUCAUGUCGUGACCAUUCUUUGUUCUGGGCAGUUUAGUGACAAAAUCCAUAGCAAUGUCUUCCCACUUACCCAUAGGCACAGGCAAUGGUUCUAAACUCCCGUAAGGUUUCUGAUGUUGUGUCUUGACUCUCGCACAAGUCACACACUCGGCCACAUACUUUGCAACAUCAAGCUUCAUCGUCGGCCACCAGUAGUAGGGUUUCAGGUCCCUAUACAUUUUAGUGCUACCCGGAUGAAUUGAGUACAUGGUUUUGUGAGCUUCUUCCAUCAGAAGAUCCCUAAUUCCUCCUGACUUAGGUACCCAAAUACGAUCUUGGAAUACCUUCAGUCCAUGACCGUUAGUACCAAACACCAACGUUUUACCCAAACGUUCCUCCUUUCGGUCAUUUUUCUCAGAAGCUUCCUCUUGAGCUUUCUUUAUACUUUCCACAAUAGUCGAGACAACUUCAAUUCUCAACGCUCUUGGCCUCUUCCUUUCAAGAUUGACUUUCCGACUGAGAGCAUCAGCAACAACAUUAGCUUUACCGGGGUGGUAAAGUAUCUCGCAGUCGUAGUCUUUAAGUAAUUCUAGCCAGCGUCGUUGCCUCAUAUUCAAUUCUUUCUGAUUAAAGAGGUAUUGGAGACUCUUAUGAUCAGUGAAAAGUUUGCACUUCGUGCCAUAGAGGUAAUGCCUCCAUAUUUUCAGAGCGAAAACUACCGCUGCCAACUCCAAAUCAUGAGUCGGGUAAUUCUUUUCAUGCUCUUUCAGCUGUCGAGACGCAUAUGCUAUCACCUUUUCUCUUUGGGUCAAAACACAACCCAAUCCAACACCAGACGCAUCGCUAUAAACAGCGAAGUCUUCAACUCCAUCGGGUAGAGAAAGUAUCGGUGCCUCGCAUAGCUUCUUCUUUAACUUCUCGAAUGCUUCUUUAUGCUUCUCACUCCAAGCAUAAGUAGCUCCUUUGUGGGUCAAAGCUGUUAAUGGAGUAGCAAUCGAAGAAAAGCCUUGGAUAAACCUUCGGUAAUAUCCGGCUAAUCCUAAAAAGCUUCGAAUCUCCGUGGGACUUUUCGGUUGUUCCCACUUCGUCACAGCUUCGAUCUUCGCUGGAUCAACCAUUAUCCCUUCUUGGUUGACCACGUGACCCAAGAAUUGGACCUCACGAAUCCAAAAAUCACAUUUGGAGAACUUCGCAUAAAGCUUCUCCUUCUUCAAAACUUCUAACACUUCUCGCAAGUGUCUGCCAUGCUCCUCCUGGCUUUUCGAGUAGAUCAGAAUGUCGUCUAUGAACACUAUCACGGAUUUAUCAAGGAAAGGAUUACAAACCCUAUUCAUCAAAUCCAUGAACGCUGCUGGAGCAUUGGUUAGUCCAAACGACAUAACCAAGAACUCGUAGUGUCCAUAUCUAGUUCUGAAUGCAGUCUUCUCGAUAUCUUGCUCUCUUACUUUCAGCUGAUGAUAUCCUGACCUAAGAUCGAUCUUCGAGAAAUAGCUCGAACCUUGCAAUUGAUCAAACAGGUCAUCAAUCCUCGGCAACGGAUAUCUAUUCUUUAUUGUUGCCUUGUUCAGCUCUCUGUAAUCGAUGCACAUUCUCAUACUUCCAUCUUUCUUCUUUACAAAUAACACCGGAGCUCCCCAGGGCGAUGAACUAGGUCUAAUGAAACCUUUGUCCAAUAACUCCUGAAGUUGCAUCAUCAGCUCCUUCAUCUCCGUCGGUGCUAAUCGAUAAGGUGCUUUUGCUAUUGGCGUGGUUCCUGGUAACAAGUCUAUUCUGAACUCCACUUGUCUAUCAGGUGGUAAUCCAGGAAGAUCCUCGGGAAAUACUUCCGGAUAAUCACACACCACUGGAAUGCUCUGCAUCACCUUCUUUUCUUUCUUAGCAUCAAUCACGAAUGCUAAAUAUGAUGUACAUCCCUUGGUCAAACACUUUCUGGCUUUCAUUAGAGAAAUGAUUCCAGAAUUCACUCUGCGUUUGUCCCCAUACACCAUAAACGAAUCUUUCCCAGGCGGGUUUACUUUAACUAUCUUCUUCUUGCACAAAAUUUCGGCAUCAUUGGCGCUAAGCCAAUCCAUUCCCAAGACGAUGUCGAAACCAUUUAGUUCGAUAGGCAAUAAUUCCUCGAGAAACUUAUUCCCAUUAAGGUCGAUCAAGACGUUUUUCAUACGAUGGCUAACAGGUACAAACUUGCCACUAGCUACUUCGACUAAUAAAGCAUUAUCUAGUCUAUCAACAGGCAAAGCUAGCUUUCUACCAAACUCAUGCGAAAUAAAGGAGUAGUUGGCUCCAGAAUCAAACAAUAUAUGAGCAGGUAAUUCGUUUACGAGAAAGGUACCUGAAGCGACAUCAGCUUCAUCUUUCGCAGCCUCAAGUGUCAUCUGGAAGGCUCUCGCCUUCGGCUUUGGUGGAAUGUUGGGCCUAGCUGCCUCCUUCUUCUUCGGACAGUCUUUCAAAAUAUGCCCCUCUUCAUUACACCCAAAACACAUCCUUUUGUUGUUCGGACAUUCAUUGGCAAAAUGUCCAACCUUUCCACACUUGUAGCAGGUCACAUCCUCGCUACAUUUCCCAAAGUGCUUUUUCUUACACUUAUCACACCACUUUGCUUCGCCUCCUUUUCCUCCAAACUUUUUCGAAUCAGAUUUCGAAAAUUUGCUCUUCUUACUGGAACCAGAUGUUCCUUCAAACUUCCUUUUCUCACCAACCUCAACCUUGACGGUGGUUCUCCCCUUGAUCAUGUUCUCCACAGACUUGGCAGCCCAGAUAGCUGCCUCUAGAGUAAGUGCCUGACGUACCGGCACCUCGUACUCCCAUGGAAGUCCCUUCGCAUACCGAUCCACCUUUGUCAGCUCGUCUGGAACGAUACGCAAGGCAAACUCCAUCUUAUCGGUGAAGUUAUUGGUGUACUCAUCCACUGACAUGCUACCCUUCGUCAAUGUCAAAAACUUGUUCUCCAACUCCAACAGAUUUUGAGCCGAGCAGAACUUGCGCUUGAACUGCACCAAGAACUCUGCCCAUGACAAUUGCAGUGGCUCAUUAGGGCUUAAGGUCUUCCCUAGAGUGUUCCACCAACGAACGGCUCCACCUCGGAAUUGUCGCACGGCAUAGAUAGUCUGCAACUUGCCUCUACAGCCACAUGUCAUAAAGGCUAACUCCAUUUCGGAGAUCCAAUCCAUAACCCCAAUCGGAUCCUCCUUUCCAUUGAAGGUCGAUGGUUUACAAGUCAAAAAGUCCUUGUACUUGCAUCCCAUUCCAUCAUUCCUUCCAUCAUGGUUAUCUUGCCUAACUAUCGGUGGGUUGGCUGGACCAACAGACCCACUGAAGUUUCCACCUUCCGAGUGCCCUUCAUUCAGUUCAGGCUCUUCCACACGAAUCGACAGUUCUUCACGAUUUUGUUGAAGCAACCGUCUAGUUUCAUCCAUCUGACGAUCCAACAUCGUCUGAAUCAUCAAUUGCACACCAGCCAUGGUUAUUGGCUCAGGUGCUGCUGCUACGACAGGUAUUGGCUCAAUCACUGGUGGUUGAUUCCUGUUUUCGUCAGCAUUUCCAACUCCACUUCUUGUUCUCACCAUUUUGAUCUACACCGAAUAAGGUGAAAUUAGAUCCUCAAUCAUGAUAGAUAUUCAAAUCAUCCUUAUCACUCCGAAACGUUUACAUGCUAGUUCUAAUAUCGUAGACGUACGCUUAGAAUCCUACACACAUAAGGUUUCUAGAUCCGGUCGGCAACAGACCAUAGAUCCGAACAAAUAAUAUCAUAUAUGGCAACAUAUAACAUUUAGCACAUAAAGCAUUUUAGGCAACUUUCCUAAAAUAAACUAGUGCUCGUGUCUAAAUCACAACAGACACACAUCUCAAAACUUCACUUAGCAUUCUAAGUUUAAGUCUAGAAAUCCUACAAAUUCCUAGUUCGCUUAAACUAAUGCUCUGAUACCAACUGUGACAUCCCCAAAAUCUCGGCCAGAAAAGACCGAUUUUCAUUUAUGCUUUUAAAUAUUUUCAGAGUAAAUCCUUUUGAUUUGAAAGAGUUGCGGAAUUUGUUCCCAAAAACAAAACAUGAUAAAACAUUGUUUACCGAAGCAUUUCAUAAAAGAAAUGUAUUUUCAUUAUAAUCAAAACUCGGGGUGUCAUGUUCCGAUACAGACCAAUAAGCAUAAACGAAUACAUUACAAGUCAUAUAACAAAUAUAAACAUAUGCAGACUUGUAAACAAAACAACUUGAUGGUUCAUCCAUCUCAUGCCCUUCCGCCACUACCUGUAAUACAAUUUAAAACUGAGUGGGUCAGGCUUGGGAGCCUGGUGAGCAUAUAGGGUUUUCAACCCACAAUAAAUAUCAUAUUUAAUUUUCACCAACCAACAAUAACCCAAUUACCCAUUCCCGUUAUUCUCACUUUAAUGUCCCUAAAACAACUAACAUAAGGGACCUAGUCUAAGAAUAUUUCAUCGGGGCGACAACACAUGCUUCGGGGGUACCUCAGCAAUAUAAGUCAAAUAAGGCAACCAUGAGGGGGAUGGAGUACAGCGAAUGAACACCCAAGUUCAUUAACACCUACAGGUGGCGAACCUGCUAAUGUUUCCACAAGACUGUCUAGAAUAGCCAGUGGUCGUCAUCUA
rnacentral:lncRNA from 1 species